rnacentral:tRNA from 1 species
GGUCCUUUGGCUUAGAUGGCAAAGCGCCUGCCUUGUAAGCAGGAGAUCACGAGUUCGAGUCUCGUUGGGACCU